rnacentral:rRNA from 1 species
AUGCUGUUUUGUACCCAGUUGCUGGACUGGAUGGAAGCUCGUGGAGCAAACUUGAGUCCUGGCCAUCAGGCAGUGCGGCUUAAACUCGUUUCAAAAGUACAUGGGAUACAGGCAGCUGAAGAAUAUUUCUGGAGCCUGCCAGAUAUAUCUAAGUCAGUGAAAACUUAUUCCUGUUUGCUUAACUGCUAUGGUAACCACGGGUUAGCAUACAAAGGUCUGGAGCUCUAUGAGAAGAUGAAAGCCAAAAAUAUUGUUCCAGAUAAACUGGUGUACAACUACUUGAUGAAAUUGUACCAAAAGGCAGGCCAGCCAGAGAAAGUUCUCUCCACAUUUGAAGAAAUGCGAGAAAGUGGUAUAAGUGCUGAUAAGUUUGUGUACUUCACCUUGAUAGAAAGCUAUAUCACAAUGAAUGACCUGGACGCUGCGGAGAAGGUCCUGGAAGAAUUGCAGAAGGUGGCUCCAGUUCACUGGUCCUUGUACACUCUGAUGGCAAACUAUUAUAUUAAACUAGAGCUAUUUGGCAAGGCAGAAGUUGCCCUAAAGAAAGUUGAGCAAGUUAUGGACAAGGCUGAGUUGCAGUCCUGGACUGCCCUCCUCUCCUUACAUGCCCGUUGUGGAAAUUCAACCGAGGUGAAGAGGAUCUGGGAGUCGUUGAAGUCCACAUUCAAGAAAUGCUUGAACAGAAGCUAUCUUGUGAUGCUUCAAGCUCUGCGUAUGAUUGAUGACUUUGAGUCUUUGCAGCAAAUCUUCCAGGAGUGGCAAUCAAGCCAUGAAUGUUAUGACGUGAGGAUAAUAAAUAUUAUGAUUAGAGCUUACCUUGAUAAGGGUAUGAUAGACGAAGCUGAGGCUAUCCGUCAGAGCACAAUGGCUCAGGGCCGUUGCGAUGGGGGCACAGUUUGCAUAUUUGCAGAGUUCUAUUUGGAUAAUCUGAUGUUAAUGCGGCAGUGGAGAUCUUGGGAGAUGCAAAGAACAUGG